CAGCCGUAAACUAUGCUCGCUAGGUGUCAGGCAUGGCGCGGCCGUGUCUGGUGCCGCAGGGAAGCCGUGAAGCGAGCCACCUGGGAAGUACGGCCGCAAGGCUGAAACUUAAAGGAAUUGGCGGGGGAGCACAACAACGGGUGGAGCCUGCGGUUUAAUUGGACUCAACGCCGGACAACUCACCGGGGACGACAGCAAUAUGUAGGCCAGGCUGAAGACCUUGCCUGAAUCGCUGAGAGGAGGUGCAUGGCGUAGACGUCU
rnacentral:rRNA from 1 species